CUCACGCGCACUUUCCAUGACACAAGAGGAAGUCACCUGAGCUCGGGCUGGGUUUUCCAGCAGCCCCGGCCUGGGUGGAGGCCGAAGGUGGGGGUGGGGAGGGGGUGGCAGCCCCCAGGGCCGGGCUCAGAACCUCCUCGGCCUCCGCCGGAGAGGCGCCUGCCUGCGCUGCCCCGGCCCGCAACCAGCUCUGAGCUGUUCCUGCUGUGUGCCUGCUCCCGGGCCACCUGCUAGCCCCAGGGUCAUCACCUCUGGACUCCAAGGGACCCCAGGAGCGUCGGGAUUCGGAGAAGCGAGCUCUACCUGGACACACAUCCACCCCAGUCCUGCCCAUAAGUGUCUCUGCCCAGCUCGUGAGCUUCCUGAGGGCGGAGACCUCGUCCUCUCUGGGUGCCAGGGCUCCAUAACGUGCCUGGCCCCAGGGUGCCCGUUAAACUGACAUGAAAUGAAUGUCCCUGAGCUCGUACCCAUAGGACAGGACUCUAAAUAUCAUCGGAUCACAUCAUGAGAAAGCGAUGGCCUUUUCUACUCCGUGCCAGUCUUUCUCAUGACAUCAAGGAGAACAUCUUGGGCUGGCGCCAGGACGUCUUGACGCCUCCCCGCCCUCGCCCAUCCGCACCCAGAGCCAAGAACAGGCGGUCUAGGGCCCAGACCUAGCAGACCAGUGUACCAGCAAGAGUAAGAGCAUUGCUUCAUUUUAGAAUCACCUUCAAUUCUGAGCAAGCGGUGCUGGUUUCCCGCUUAUAACAGCAACGUAAAGUUUCUUUUAAAUGUGUUUUAAAUUUUAAAACAAUUUCAGACUUAGAGAAAAGUUGCAAAAGUCAUACAAAGAAUUCCUGGAUAUCCUUUAUCCAGAUUCCCUAGUAUUAACAUUUUUCUACUUUCUCUCUCUCUCUCUUUUUCUCCCCACUACCUACCCACACGCACACAUGCACAGAGAUUAUUUUUUUCUGAACCAUCUAAAAACAGGUUUUCUUGGGGCCAGCCCGGUGAUGGAGUGGUCAGGUUGCCCACUCUACUUUGGUGGCCUGGGGUUUGCAGGUUCGGCUCCCUCGUGUGGACCUGCGCACAGCUCAUCAAGCCACGCCGUGGUGGCCUCUCACAUACAAAAUAAAGGAAGAUGGGCACGGAUGUUAGCUCAGGGCCAAUCUUCCUCACCCAAAAAAAAAAAAAUCAAUACUUUAGUGUAUAUUUCCUAAAAGCAGGAACAUUUUCUUACAUAACUACAGUACGCUUGUCAAAAUCAGGGAGUUGACACAGACACAGUACUGUUACCUAAUCUGGAGACCUCAUCCUGAUUUCACCCUCCGUCCCAGUAAAACCCCAGCUCACACUUUGCAUUCGGUUGCCGCGUCUCUUUAGCUCCUUUAACUGGCAACAGUUCUCGAGUCUUGGUAUUUUGCCAUCUUAGCAUUUUUGAAAAGUACGUGCCAGAUAUUUUGUAAAAUGGCUGAAGAGUCCUUUAAAAAUAAAGUUUUGAAAAAACGUGAAUCCAUUUAAAGAAAAACUCUUAAGUAAGCAAGAGAACAAAAUGUCCACAGAAAAAGCAAAACCACGAAGACUUACGUGGAAAAGUGAGGUUUGAGAGGUGUUGGCUGAAAUCAACUGCAUUCUGUCCCCGGGU
ensembl:lncRNA